AUUGAACGCUGGCGGCAUGCUUUACACAUGCAAGUCGAACGGUAACAGGCCGCAAGGUGCUGACGAGUGGCGAACGGGUGAGUAAUGCAUCGGAACGUGCCCAGUCGUGGGGGAUAACGCAGCGAAAGCUGCGCUAAUACCGCAUACGAUCUAUGGAUGAAAGCGGGGGACCGUAAGGCCUCGCGCGAUUGGAGCGGCCGAUGUCAGAUUAGGUAGUUGGUGGGGUAAAGGCCUACCAAGCCAACGAUCUGUAGCUGGUCUGAGAGGACGACCAGCCACACUGGGACUGGGACACGGCCCAGACUCCUACGGGAGGCAGCAGUGGGGAAUUUUGGACAAUGGGCGCAGGCCUGAUCCAGCAAUGCCGCGUGCAGGAAGAAGGCCUUCGGGUUGUAAACUGCUUUUGUACGGAACGAAAAGGCUCUGGUUAAUACCUGGGGCUCAUGACGGUACCGUAAGAAUAAGCACCGGCUAACUACGUGCCAGCCGCCGCCGUAAUAC
rnacentral:rRNA from 1 species